rnacentral:rRNA from 2 species
GACGAACCGUCCAAACGUUAUUCGGAAUUACUGGGCUUAAAGGGUGCGUAGGCUGCGCUGUUAGUCAGGUGUGAAAUCCCUCAGCUUAACUGAGGAAUUGCGCUCGAUACUGCAGUGCUGGAGGGAGACAGGGGUAAGCGGAACUGAUGGUGGAGCGGUGAAAUGCGUUGAUAUCAUCAGGAACACCGGUGGCGAAAGCGGCUUACUGGGUCUCUUCUGACGCUGAGGCACGAAAGCUAGGGGAGCGAACGGG